AUGAACGCUGGCGGCGUGCCUAAUACAUGCAAGUCGCGCGAACAGACGAGGAGCUUGCUCCUCUGACGUUAGCGGCGGACGGGUGAGUAACACGUGGAUAACCUACUUAUAAGACUGGGAUAACUUCGGGAAACCGGAGCUAAUACCGGAUAAUAUAUUGAACCGCAUGGUUCAAUAGUGAAAGACGGUUUUGCUGUCACUUAUAGAUGGAUCCGCGCCGCAUUAGCUAGUUGGUAAGGUAACGGCUUACCAAGGCGACGAUGCGUAGCCGACCUGAGAGGGUGAUCGGCCACACUGGAACUGAGACACGGUCCAGACUCCUACGGGAGGCAGCAGUAGGGAAUCUUCCGCAAUGGGCGAAAGCCUGACGGAGCAACGCCGCGUGAGUGAUGAAGGUCUUCGGAUCGUAAAACUCUGUUAUUAGGGAAGAACAAAUGUGUAAGUAACUAUGCACGUCUUGACGGUACCUAAUCAGAAAGCCACGGCUAACUACGUG
rnacentral:rRNA from 1 species